rnacentral:miRNA from 1 species
CAAGUUGGUAUUUAAAGUUGGUCU